GUUGCAGGGUAUAGACCCGAAACCCGGUGAUCUAGCCAUGGGCAGGUUGAAGGUUGGGUAACACUAACUGGAGGACCGAACCGACUAAUGUUGAAAAAUUAGCGGAUGACUUGUGGCUGGGGGUGAAAGGCCAAUCAAACCGGGAGAUAGCUGGUUCUCCCCGAAAGCUAUUUAGGUAGCGCCUCGUGAAUUCAUCUCCGGGGGUAGAGCACUGUUUCGGCAAGGGGGUCAUCCCGACUUACCAACCCGAUGCAAACUGCGAAUACCGGAGAAUGUUAUCACGGGAGACACACGGCGGGUGCUAACGUCCGUCGUGAAGAGGGAAACAACCCAGACCGCCAGCUAAGGUCCCAAAGUCAUGGUUAAGUGGGAAACGAUGUGGGAAGGCCCAGACAGCCAGGAUGUUGGCUUAGAAGCAGCCAUCAUUUAAAGAAAGCGUAAUAGCUCACUGGUCGAGUCGGCCUGCGCGGAAGAUGUAACGGGGCUAAACCAUG
rnacentral:rRNA from 1 species